rnacentral:rRNA from 1 species
GAUGAACGCUAGCUACAGGCUUAACACAUGCAAGUCGAGGGGAAACGACAUCGAAAGCUUGCUUUUGAUGGGCGUCGACCGGCGCACGGGUGAGUAACGCGUAUCCAACCUGCCCACCACUUGGGGAUAACCUUGCGAAAGUAAGACUAAUACCCGAUGGUGUCACAUUCCCGCAUGGGCGUGUGACUAAAGGCAACGGUAGAGGAUGGGGAUGCGACUGAUUAGCUUGUUGGCGGGGUAACGGCCCACCAAGGCAACGAUCAGUAGGGGUUCUGAGAGGAAGGUCCCCCCCACAUUGGAACUGAGACACGGUUCCAAAACUCCUACGGGAGGCAGCAGUGAGGAAUAUUGGUCAAUGGGCGAGAGCCUGAACCAGCCAAGUAGCGUGCAGGAUGACGGCCCUAUGGGUUGUAAACUGCUUUUAUAAGGGAAUAAAGUGAGUCUCGUGAGACUUUUUGCAUGUACCUUAUGAAUAAGGACCGGCUAAUUCCGUG